AUUGAACGCUGGCGGCAUGCCUUACACAUGCAAGUCGAACGGCAGCACGGGUGCUUGCACCUGGUGGCGAGUGGCGAACGGGUGAGUAAUACAUCGGAACAUGUCCUGUAGUGGGGGUUAGCCCGGCGAAAGCCGGAUUAAUACCGCAUACGAUCUACGGAUGAAAGCGGGGGACCUUCGGGCCUCGCGCUAUAGGGUUGGCCGAUGGCUGAUUAGCUAGUUGGUGGGGUAAAGGCCUACCAAGGCGACGAUCAGUAGCUGGUCUGAGAGGACGACCAGCCACACUGGGACUGAGCCACGGCCCAGACUCCUACGGGAGGCAGCAGUGGGGAAUUUUGGACAAUGGGCGAAAGCAUGGUCCAGCAAUGGCGCGUGUGUGAAGAAGGCCUUCGGGUUGUAAAGCACUUUUGUCCGGAAAGAAAUCCUUGGCCCUAAUACGGUCGGGGGAUGACGGUACCGGAAGAAUAAGCACCGGCUAACUACGUG
rnacentral:rRNA from 1 species